rnacentral:snRNA from 1 species
CCCCCCGAAGUUUCCCUCAGGA